rnacentral:lncRNA from 1 species
GCUAGAUAACCGAAAGUAAAAACUCCUUCAAGGUCACCGAGGAACGUUCCGGAAAGAAAGACUGCAACCAAGAGACAGUAAAAACCAGAAAGGGUGGUGCUGGGGCAGAUGGAGUGAGAGUGACUUUCAAGCUCACUUAAAUAUGGGAGUUCUUAUAUGUCUGACAAACUCUUGAUGUCCUGAGUGCAAAAUAUCUAGCUAUUUAAAAUGUUGACUUGGAAAAAAAUGCCUUUGGGAAAAUGACACCAAAUAGUAUUAAAUAAUAGCAAAAGGAGAGAGAUGACCAGGGAAAACUAUCCACAUAUUUGCUGAAGAUAAGUACAGAUUUCUAUUUUUCUGCUAUAAUUUGAUUUAAAAGAUUUAGGAUUAUGUUAGAUUUUUACAUUAGAAUAUAGAUUGUUUUGAGGGAGGUUUCUUCCAUUAUACAAUUACCAUUUUCACUGUUUUUUUUCUUUUAUUAAAACACAGUUAAAGUAAAUAUUACAUGACACCAUGACUCAGUAUUUCACCCUUUGGUAAAAUAUAUAAAUCUUACAAAUAAUUUACCCAAAUUCUAGACUUUUAGAAGCAUGGACUGUGCUUGUGCAAUCCUCUCUCAGUCAUUGUCUAAUGUGGAAGGAGUUGUGCUUCAUGGUUUCAGCCUGUAAUUAGUGAGAUCAGUAAUCAAGACAGCUGGGAUGUAUUUUCCUACAAGAACUAAAAGAGUGAGGACAUCUGUUUGAGAUGAAUGAAAUGGUCAAAUAUAAAUGAAUCUAAAUUUGCUGUGUUGUGUGGUUCUUUUCAGGAAGACCAGAGAGUAUAUGUCCCCCAUGAGAAUAUUUCUUCAGCAUCAAAAUUGAG